rnacentral:lncRNA from 1 species
AUUCCGUUAUAAGAUCGUUCUAAUUUUUGUUUCCUAAUUGUUCCAUUUUUCAGGAACUUCAAAAAUUAAAAAAUAGGCUUAAAUGUCAUCGACAAUCCGACAGCAAAAAAAGACACGUAAGUACAAAGAAUGUUCGGCAAUAAUUUAUUAUUAAGCUUUCAUUACCCAUUGAUGUUUAUGGUGUCUUUUAGAUUCUAUACAAUUUAUUUUAAGUACUAACCAAAUUAUCUCGUUUAUUUUAAUUUAUCAUAAUUUAUAUAAACUAUUGAAAAUUCUUUUAUAUCCAUUUUGAUUAUCUGUUGGAAUAAGUUAACGUAAUCGGUAUUUAACGUGAUUCUUCUCUUUAACAAACUAUUUGGAAUAGUCUACUAUUGCUACGGCCGAGGGUACGUCAAGUUGUAUACCAUAAAGUAUUACCCUUUCCACGUUGCUGCCAGAUGUUCGAUAAUGAUCGUAUUUUAUGAUAACAUUAACAUCUGUACAACGUACAAUCAAUAAUACACAAAAAAUAUUUAAAAUGUACGAUAAUUUUAUCAUGUUAUUACACUUGAAACACGUCAUAACGUUCUUAUACCUAGGGGUCAGCCAAAUAAUAACAGCUCUACAUGAACACACACAAUGGUAUUAUUAUAAUAUAAGCUCAGAGACAGACAACCAUUAAGCGCUGUAUUACUUGAUAAUGUGAUGUAUUAUCUUGGUGUGUUUAUGUGUUAUGAUGACGUUCAAUUCUAACCGCCUUUGCACGUUGUUGUAAUUGUAGAUUAAGUCUGCGGUCGGAUUAGCCCAAUUAACAACAAGGCGAGCAUAUGUUAAUAAACUAUACUAGUGUUCGGCGAAAGACUUAAACAGCAAAACAAAGACGAAAGAAUAAUCAUAUUAAUAAACAUUGUGUUUCCUGGAGAACACAAAUUUAAACAAAACGUGGUGAUGAUCGGUAUUUAGCAAUAAAGUGUAGGAUUGUUAUGAUACAGUACAGCCUGGGCAAUUUGAUAUAGUUCGUAUAUAAAAUAAAUAUUUGAAACCAAAUUUUUAGGGUGAGAAGCCCUCUAAACCACCGAAGGGAUAAAAAGAUAAACAACAAGGUGUACAGAAUCUUUGUCAGUUUUCACUCAGUCUCAUCAGACCCAGUGUGGAAUCGAAUCAAGGUCUCUGAAGGUUUUGGUGUUGUCACUGUAGGAGAACUGCACAUUCAGAAAUUCAUUUUGUUCUCUUUGUUUACAUACGUUUAGAAGUUCUUGGAUAAUUAAAUUGUGCAAGGGCAUUGUUAGUAUUAUGACAAGUGAAUAUGGUAACUUUAAUUUCCAUGAUGACUAAUCCACAACCAGCCCAGCAACCAUGUAUCCAACCACAGUUACUAAGGAAACCAGAGCUGCCAACCAUUCCACUUAUACAGAUUAUCAAUCAUCCAAUAAGCCUGUAAGAAAUACCAACCUUCAAGUGUCACUGUCAGGAGCAGCUGACAUGAAAGACUGAGGCCUGGGCCCUCUAUAAUCACGAGGAGGACUGGCUCAGGAAAUGAGCAGAUAUACCAACCCAACGACUCAUUUAAUUAAUGUCAUGGGUUUGCUUCUUUUCAUUUCAUAUUUUUCUAUAUUCUUGCUCUCACUUGCAUAAACAUGUUUUACGAUACUCUAACAUUUGUUAGCUCUCCUCUUUGUUCAUAUACCGUUUUUGUAUUUUCUUUCAAUUUAGUUUGAACACAAAGAAACUUAAGUAUAUGGAUCUCAACUUUACCAUUCUCCAGUGCACAUGGGAUGUACUUAACUAUUUAACAAUUAACCCUAUUUCCUUACAGAAAAGCGAGCUUGUGACAUCAAAAGAUGGUUGUUUUUUUGUCAGCAGAUCAGAUAAUGGGCAGAGGUUACCACAUCUUUAUGCUUAGAAUGUAGUGGAGGAGUUUUACAAGACCAUAGCUGAGAGCCAAAUAUCAACAUUUACAACAGGAGGAAAUCUCUCAGCUCAAAAAGGACAAUCAGAAAGUUAAAGAGGUCCUCUGGGAUGUCUUGACUGAAUGGAAGAGGCCCAUGGGUAUCAUUGGUAGAUUUAUAUUGACCCUUUGAAGCUUUUCAUCAGUGGCAAGUCUGAAGGCUUAUAAUGCCAAACUCUGGGUUUCAAGUACUCAUGGUGGGCACAGUACAGAUAGCCCAUUGUGUAGCUUCACACUUAACAUCAAACAAACAAAGCUUGAGUUUAAUUACUGUACUAUAUUUGUUAAGUUGAUAUUAUUAUGUGUACAUUAACAAUUGAUAUUUUGUUUAUAGUCCAGUUUCCAAAUUUCUUUUUUAAUGUUAUUAUGUUAAAACUUGAGUUUAGUUACUGUAAUAAAAACAUUAUUACGGAGUAAAAUCUGAAUUAUCAGACCUCAAUUGAGUUUGAAGAAAAUAUGGAGACUGGGCAAAAGUUAAAUAACAGUGAGAUAUUCUUUACUUAAUUCAAACAACAACCAAAUUAAAACAAAUAUAUUUUUUUAUGAGUUCAAAUACUAGAGAUAUUUAAUGAAUGUGUUACAGUAUUCUCUUAAAACCAGUUCCAGACUGAGAAAAAAUAUACAAACAUUAUAUACAAGAAACAACAAUACCACUUUCUCAGGUUGCGGGUGCUACCCAUGUAUCUGAUGGCUACUGUCGCUACAAAAUUGUAGUAUUGGGGUAUCACCCGCCCUGUCACUAUUAUGAUAUCGUAUGCUCCAUCUUACAAGAAUUUUUGCCACAAGGACUUUUAUGUGGUCUGUAUAAGUAGGAAGAUUAUCUUUCUCAUUGAAUGUAAAAUGAGUGUGACCUUUGAUGUAGGUUACUCAAGGCUGUAAGAUAUCAACCAAGGGAAGAUGCUGUGGGAAGAUGGGAGCAUUGUCGUGAGAGGUUAAUAAUACAUGAAGAGAUAUGGAACUGAACUAAUAAUAAAAGAUUAACAUACAGGUAACUUAUUAAUGAAUAUUUUUAACAGUAGUGUGUAAUAUGUGUGUCUGUAUAUAUAGAUAGUACAGGAAGA